UCUCUCUCUCUCUCUCUCUCUCUCUCUCUCUCGUUAGUUCUAUCAGCCGCCUCUCCCUUACCAUCUCCAUCGUCGUCUCUCUCAGCUCUGCUAUCUCUCUCUUUUCUCUCAGCCUCCACAAACACCUCCUCUCCACUUGACUCUCUCCUUCUUCUCUCUCGUCUUUGGCGCUGCGUCCCCCGGACUCGACUCUCCCCUUCUUCUCUCUCGGCAAUGGUGCUCUUCCUUCCGACGGCGCCGACAGCAGAGUGGUGGUGGUGCGUGUGGUGGUUGGUGGUGCAACGGGGCUUGCCAACCCUCAACAGCAAUUGAGAGAUUGGCAGAGGCGUCUCCGCCAAGAAUGCCGCAACAUCGAACGCCAGAUUAGAGGCAAUGCUCUCUCUCUCUAAGUAAUUCAAGUCCAUUUAGCUGUCUGUUGAGUCUGUUGGAGUUUGCUUUCCUAUGUGGAGGAUGUUGUCGAAAACCUAUUUGUGAUGAUAUGAAAGACAGUGCUUAUGGAGUUUUUCCUCUUUUAGGAACUAGACAAACCUGCUCCUAUUAGAAUAUCGUCGUUACUGACUACUCGACACUUAUCACAAAGGCAUAUCAGGUUGCCUGCUAGAAAAUAUCAUCCAAAGAUUGAUGGUUUGAAGGUGCGAUGUUUAUCAUCUAAACUUCAUUUGAAUUGCAUUGUUGAGUCUUAUGAUCUCUAUUUGUUAGAGACGUUUGUUCUGUUUCCUGCUGGUCCCAUAUUUUAGUGAUGGUGAAGAAACCAUCAGCACACCAAAAGCAGACACUUUAUUCCUUCCAAGGGACAACCCUAGAGCACUUGUUAUUCGACCUGCAGAGCAGUGGUCUUUGAAGUCUAGCACUGAUAAAGCAUUCGCAUUGAAGGAUAUAUCCCCAGUACACGAGAACGGGAAAUUAUCUGAGGAGGCAUGUCAUGCACCUAGCUCCAACUUUGAGAAGAAAAAUAAUAUUUUAUUUUGGACUAGCAAAAUAGAUGCCAUCUUAAUGGACUCAUCAUUCAAUUGCUCUUAAUAUUUCUCAGGCUGACCUUAUCAUCAACAAGGUACUUAAACAGAGUAGAUUUUGAUUAUUGUAAACAACAAUUUCAAGUGCCAAGUCUAUCAAGGGUACUCUAUAUUGGAUGGCUCCUGAAGUCAUUAUCGAGAGUGCUCAUCCUGAGUCAUUGCCCUGACCGAGAGCUUCUAAAUUUCCCAAAGGAUUGUGCAACUAAGAAGGUAUUUAUUGGGUUCUUUUCUUGUAAUGCAAAUCGGAUGUUAGUGAAAAUGCCUCAAUGGACUAAUAUUGUUGUGGUGUCCACGCCACGCCUCUAUGUAUUCAUCUUUUUUAUUUGCAAGGAAGCUAAGGAUACAUUCUUUCGGAUUGAUCAUACUUUGGACUAUAUUGUUCAUUAAUUUAGGAAUAUUUGUUUUGUUCUUGGUAUUGAUUAAAUGUAUAAUAAAUCUUGGAUACUAUAUGACAUCUCAUUGAGUAUAAGUUUUGUUA